ensembl:lincRNA
GACGAUCAAUCAAUCAAUCAAUCUUCAUUUGCUACAGUGCCCUCUGUAACAGUUUGUGACAGGGCAGUUUACAGCAUUAUACAGCACUUGACAACAUUUCACACCAGUAGUCAACCAUGUGGCCACAGAGGAGAGGAAAACAAAAACGUCCUGUGUGGAAAAAAACACUGGGGUUACCCCCACUCUAGGGAGGGAUUGGUAUGUUACUCAUGUCAAAAUGAAGUCCUGACCACUGGGCCAUUACAGAUCCAUUGGCACUGUUUGUAAUAGGGGUGUUAUGCCAGUGUCCUGGCUAAAUUCCACUUUAGGCUUGCGCUUAAUUAAGAUGGUGAAUUAAUCUCUCACUUCUCCACCUAGUCUGCUGCAUAGUGGGGCUGUUGGUGCAUAAUAUGAACCCAACACAAUAGUGGUGGUCUAAGUGGGUCUCCUCUUAUACAGUACGUAAAGCACUUUGGGAUCAGAUGAGAUAAUAUGCUACAGAAUGCUAUUGAAAUGCUAAAUGUCUUGAAUUAUUAAUAAAGCCAAGAUACAAGAUGUGAUGCAGGAGAUAUACAGGUAUAGAUGAUAUGGGUUUGUACACUGCAAAACUACGGUCUGGCUUUCACUUAAGAAAACAACGAUCAAAAUAUUUACAGUGCCAUUUAUUUUUUCACAAAGACCUUCAGGCUGCUCUCAUGAAAGCCCUGCGUUUCCCUCAUGUCACACCUGUGAGGCCUAUCUAUAGGGAAGAUCUAGUAUUAAACACUGCCUCAUAAGUGCAUUAUCCACAAGUGUUGAUCUCCUCAGACGGGAAGCAGCUUAGUAAUUAGACCUUAAUACCAGACAGUAUUUUCUUUUCUCAUUUUGAGCUGCAUUCGGCUAGAGGACUAUCGGCACUAUGAGGACGGUCUUGGUUUUGCUAGUCUUGGCCUCCAUCGCAGUCCAGAGCGAGGGGCUGAAAUGCCACACCUGUGUGGCGGCGAACGAAGAGGAAUGUAACCGGCAAGGCUCACAGAACUGCCCGCAGUAUGCAGAUGCCUGCUCCACCAUCACGGGGCCCAACACCGUCAUGAAGUCCUGCUCCUACAAGUCCUUUUGCGACAAAGCGCACCAGAGCAACUCGGGCGUUAAGAUGGACUGCUGCUUCUCUGAUGACUGCAACGGGCCGCCCAAGGGCCGCAGCGCCAGCCAAGGGGGUCGCAAUGUGGGCUCUGUCCUGCACUGCAGCCCCACCCUCAUGCUUGGGGUGCUGUUGGUCAAGCUGCUCUUCAGCAAACUCUAAGAAAGGACAUAGCCCAACACAUAAUACCCCCCACCUUGUUCUCCUUUCCUUUCCACUCUCUAUCAGGUAAGGAGCCAGAUACAAUGAGCUCCUUGUCUUCUGUAUGGUUUAGAGCAAUUAUAUUGGAUCUGAUGGGUGUGUCCUGUCUUCUGAUUGUCACAUGCUGUGGCUGGUAACCAUUCCUAAUCAGUAAAAACAGUAAAAAUGUUUACUUUAUGCUGUAAUUGCACACUGAUACUGUCCUUUAUAUUAUAGGAGCAAUUGAUAGAGGCUGGGAUGUACUGUAAGUCAUAGAAUCACUCUCUUAACUAGAGGUGCACAGCAGAGCUUGCCAUAAGGCUCCCUGUUUUAUGGUUUGCUUUAUUCCUGAGAAGAAGCUUUUGAAAACAAGACUGGGAUCUGUUUUUUUUUUUUUGCUUUUUCCAUUGUCCGGUUUCAAGACCAGUCUCGCUUCACAUGCUUCAUUGCACCUAGUACAGUUUAUCUGAGUGAAAUACACCCUGCAGGUUUGCAGACCGCCAAGUAAAAGUGUGAUGUUUAAGGAUUGAGUUAAAAUGCUGUAGAAUGAGAAAAAAAAAGCACGAGACUGCAAAAAAGAGGGACAUGGAGAAAGAGGAACAGGAAGGGCUGCUAUAAUGGGUAAUUGUUCUGCAGACAUUUACACAGUACUGGUUAGAAGCCUUGCCCUGUACUGUCCCCUGUUUCCCUGUGUUCAAUGUCCUUGCUUCAACAAUACCACCCUUUCUCUGCUGUCUUAAACCAUGAGUUACAACCUGAUCUAAAGCACUGUGUGUCAGAUGUUGACCAGAUGUACAGAAAAAGAAGACCUGUGAAGUUUCAGCCUCAUUGCUGCCCUAUUGCUAGUGCUAUAAUUAUUGGCAGGUGUCUUCCUGGCUUUUUGCUGCACUCAUGUAAAACAUGGAAAAUACUGCCAAUUUCCCCAUUUAACAUUCCCAUUUGUGGAAUUUUAACUACCGAAUUGCAGUUCAGCAGUCUAUUCGGUGUAGUGGAUGAAGGCUGUCAGUACUCUUUGCAUCUUGUAAAAGAUAAAGUGAAUUUAAAGUGACCUCACAAACCAACAUGUAGGACUGUAAAGAGAAAAGAGGGAGAAAGGAAAGAAAUUUGAAAUAUGUGGAUGCAAAUAAAAUGCAAUUAAAGGUCAGCGAUUCUUCCCAAACACAAAAAAUAAAGUUUCAGCUUAUUUUUUUCUUAACCUUCGUAUUUUGGGAAGACAGCUUUUGUCUGAAAUGUUUCCUGCGAUGGACGCUUUUUAGAAUCUAAUAAACUGUGCCGUAUGGUUAAUAAGAGAUGGACUCGCCUCAUUUGUCAAAUGACUUUGACAUUCUGUAUACAAAAUUAAGAGCACAACUUCACCUUCAUUUUAUGGCGCAUUCAGUGAAGAGAAAAUCUGGGAGCAAGGGGAUGAAAAAAUACUGACAGAAAAAAGAAAAGAGAAAUGAUUAAACCUCAAAAGCAAGGAAGUGUUGAGAAUAUCCUGAAUUCACUUCUAAGAACUUUACACUGAAGACAGAAGGGGACAUUUUCCACAUUUUGCUUAAGCAGUUGUUAAGUUUUUUUUGCUCCACCAUAAAUCUGAAGCAUAUGUGUGUCCACCGAGUCCUUUAAUGCUCUGCUGCCUCUCACAUUACUGUAGGAGGUUGUUGGAAAGUCAUUAAAAUCCUUUAUCUUUCCAAGCAAUGGAAUAUAAAUUAAACAGAAGAUACAAUCAGAUUCUCACCUAAAAACGACUACAAGAAAAAGUUAAUAUAUAUAACAAGCUCGCUUUUCUACAUAAUUCCAUUUAUAACUUUCUGUGGGCAAGUACUGUAGCAUUGAUUUACAAAGAAAUACGAAUAAUUCUGUAUUCAGAAGCCCGUGCUCUCUCUUUCGAAGCAAAGCAGUUUAACACAUUUCAUAAUAUGUGCAGUGGUUAGAUUGUGCUUGCAGCGUUCUGAACGAAGUCGCUGUAAUUCCAGUUUAACUAUACACACCGUAAAACAUGACUUCCUUUUGAGGUCAAACUGAUGCAUACAAAAUGAGCAUACACUCGAG